AAGCAAUGAGGAUAAUCAUUCCUUGAAUUUCAAUGAUUCACAUAUACGCUAUUCUGAGCUUUCU